rnacentral:lncRNA from 1 species
GCUCAUACAGUAAAACAAAAAAAGUUGCUUAUUCACAUGUUCAUAGCACUAUUCACUAUUUGCAUUUGCUCUUAUACUUAUUUGUGUACUUGAUUAUUACUUGUCUCCACCACUAGAAUGUAAACCUCAUAAGAGCAAGAACCAUGGCUUUACACCUUGAUGUUGUCCCUCAUUUCUCCCCCCAAUUAUUUGAUAUGGACAACUGUUGUUUUCUGGAAUGUAUGGAAACAGUCUUGAAACCAUGGCCUUAAAUCCCCCUCUGAUCUACUUUUUAAGCCAUCAUGCUAUUGAUUUGGCAGAGUAUGGACUUGGCUUACUUUCUACUCUGCUACAACAAACAGACUUUGCCUAGAAAUGUCCCAUUUUUGUAAUUCAUUUAAAAAAGAUAAUUAUAAUAGUAAGAAAAGUCAUUAUUAUCAAAGUAAAUAUCUCAUUCUCUUUCUUAAGAUGUACACAGUAUCAACUUUUACACAAAAGGUUCCGUAUACUGUAAGAUUUGCAGUAAGUUGCUGACCCCUGUCCUAAAACUUUCAGGUUGGUUUUGCCCUCCAGCUCAAUCAGUUAUUCAAUAAUUUCAUCUGUGAUUUAGGCAAAAAUAUGACUUUCUUCCUAGUGGGAAAUAAAGCACUUGAAGGGCUGCAGCCAGAGACCCUGUGCUAGCCUAGGACCAAGUGCAAACUAAUGCCAUCCAUUUAGAGCAAAAGAAAUAGGCAGAGUCCUUCCUCUGUGACCAGUGAAUUUUGGAUGCACUGCAGUCUUCUGCCUUCAUUAUUCAGAGUAUCUAGAAGUAGAUGACACAAUGUCAGAUCUUCCACAAGAACCCUUGCCACUAUUCCACAGAGUAACUCUCAUGAUCAAGGUGCCUGGUCCUACUUAAGCUAACAAAAAAUUGCUUUCACAAAACAAUCAACUAAUCAAAAAUCCUUGGAUGUUACAAAUCAUUUUUCCUCUGCCCUGAGCAAUAUUUCUAUGGGUAUUUCUAUAUAGGAUUAUCUACAGUUAAUAUUUAUAAAGUAAGAUUUCAUUGGAGUAUAUUCGCCUCUCAGUAUAAUCUGAUACAUAUCUUGAUUUUUUCUUUUAUAAUAUUGCUCUUUUAUUAUUCUUGAUCAUUGACAUUGCCAUAUAAAUGGUAGAAUCAACUUGUAAAUUUCUACCAAAAUGCCAGUUGGAAUUUCUAUCAGAAUUGCAUUGGAUCUGGAGAUCAAUUUAUGAAGAACUGACUUUUUAAACAUAACAACUCUUCUGAUCCAUGACAAGGUUUAUCUCCCCACUAAUUUAAUUCUUUCAUAAUUUCUUUUUUUUAUUUUUAAAAGAAAUCAUCUGAUUUGUAAACAUACACUCAAUUUCUUGAUAUUUCUUCUUAACUUAUGGCCUAAAUCUUGAUUAUUUUGCUUAAUUUUAAUACCUUCCCAUAAGAGCAAAUUUAGUAAAUUAAUACACCUUCCAGUUGUUGGCAUUUUGAGAGUAUUGGCUCAAAGAAAGUGUCAGGAAAAUGGGCAAGAACACUGCAAUCUUGGAAAAGACAUGGAGUUAUGUAACAAAAACUGGGCUGAGACAUGGUUUUAUUUCUCACUAGCUGUGUGAGUUUGGGAAAGUCAUUUAACCCAUCUGUGCCUCAGUUUCUUAAUUAAUGACUGACUUGCCUCCCCCACAGCGCAAUUGUACAAACCGAGGGAAAUGAAAGUUUUAAUUUAUCCCUGCAGCAUCCUGAUGGCUAAGAAAAAAAUUAUAAUCUAAAGGUUUAGCACACCUAGAUGGAAAUAUGUUUUCUGAGGGAAUAUCAUAAAGAGAGGGAGGGGCUGGGAUUGCCACCCUUCAGACACCUCUCACCCUCUUGGUCAAGGAGCAGUAUCCAUUUGUGAAGAAAGGAGGGAGGCCAAUUGGGGAUGCACAGAUACAACCACUGGGGGAAUAACUGUGGGUUGAACAGCUGCAUAUAGAAUUGUAGUUUGACAGGUUUUCCUGCCCAUUAGUACUUUGAAGAUGUCAUCCCAUUGUCUUCUGACCUCUAUAAUUGCCACUGAGAGAUCUGCUGUCAGUCUGCUUAUCCUUCCACGGACUCAAGUUUCUUCAAUCUGAAGAUACAUGUCUUUCUCCAGGGACAUGUGGAAAAAAAAAAGAUGUUAUACAACCAUCAAAGUGGCAAAAAUAAAAAAAAUCAAGUAUUGGCAAAGAUGUGGGGAAAAUUCUCAUAAGCUACUGAUGAGAAUUUAUAAAUUAUUAUGACACCUUUGGGUUGCAAUCUGGGGAUACUGGCAAAGCAGAAAAUUGUACAACCUGUGAUCAAGCAAUAAUAAUUUUAGGCACCCAUCCUAGAGAAAACUUGAAUUCAUAGAAAAAGUAGGUACACGUAAAUCUGUUCAAGGAAUCAUUGUUUGGCAUUGAAAAUAGGAGAGAGAUCAUGAGAAAUUACCAAAAUGUCCACCAAUAGAAUGAGUGAAUCACCUGUGGUAUAUUUAUAAAUAAAAAUAUUAAAUAGAAGGUAAAACAAAUCAGACAUACACACAUUAGAUAGAUAAAUUUAGAGGACAAAAUAAGGAACAUGAAAAGCAAAUAGUAGAUGGCAAAUGUAAUAUAAUAUACUAUGCAUAAAUUUUAACAACACACAAUAUUAUAUUGCAUAUUGCCCAAUAAGCAGAAGCCAUAAGGUCUCACACUUUUCUUAUAAUGCAAUAGAAUAAAAAUGACAACAAAGUAAAAGGGUAUCCCAAAAAUAAAACUAUCCUUUUGGAAAAAAAAAGAUUUAAAAUAAUUCCUGGUUUGAAGAAAUAACAAAUUAAAAGCUAUAUAUAAACGGUUAACAAUAUUAGGUGGACAUAUUUGUUUGAAGAGAUAGGUGAAAGAUAGUUGAAAAGCCUGGGGGUAUAUUCAAGGUUAUAUGUCUUAGAAAACAAAAAUACUUGUUUGGGUUCAGUUUUGGAUCUGGGCUUGUUCUUGUGGCUUCUGAUGAUUUCUGACUUGGGGAAAAAUGGGGAAGAGUUGAAAUACGUCCUUCCACCCAAACCUUUGUUUAGUAAUAGGUAGGAAAAUGAAGAAGAAAAUAGAAUGUUGCAGAAUGUGGAGGGAUGUAAAAUGGACAGUACUAGGGUAGAGGGGAAGUCAGAUUAGAGGAAAGAAAGAGCAUCAGGAACAGUCUUGUGCUAGGAGCUGGUGUGGCCAAGCACAGUCGGAUGCCCAAAGAUCCAACAAGGCCAUGGCUCUGUGUCCUUGAGUGGGCACAACCAUUCCUAGCCAAGUUUAAGAGGCAAGUAAAAAUAUAGGGGCAAUGUCAGAUGAAGUCUUGUUCAGGGUAUGGGGCUAGGAUGAGAGAGAAUGCCACAGAGUAUGAAGGAAGAGUGAUAGAUCCAGAUGAGAUACAGCUCAGAGUGCCACGCCCCCAGAAAGAGGAAUCAGGCAAGUACUGUCCCAAGGCAGCUGGAGGGUGAGGGCUGAGUGCCCUGGCUUCCUCACUUGGGGAGACCAUGGGUCUCUGUAGAAAUUCCAAUAUAAAGGCAGGGAAAUUUGACUGCAUGGAGUCUUCAGGUAGAAAUGUUUCUCUUGCCUAAAUUCAGGUGCUAAAUAAACAACAAAAUGGUAACCUCUACUAUGAAGUGUUUCCAAUGAUGGGAUAUCUGAGGCCAUUACAUUCCUGGGAAUAACAUGGUGAGGUGCAGGGUGGUGGUGGUGGUGAAACAUACGACAGACCACUGUAAGUGAGAACAAAUUACUGGCCCAGCCCAACCCACACCAAAUAAGAAAUUUAAUAUCCCUUUGGCCUGUUUUAGAUUUUGGCAAAGCCAGGCCCAUAGUGCUUGCUGGGCUCUCUCUUCCACAUCAUCCAGAAGACACACAUUUGCUAUGGAAUGAUUGUGGAGGUGAGAGUAUAGUGCAUAUUAAUUCAUGCAAAAAGUUAGAUAUUAGCCCAGAAAUGUUAGUAACAAGAAACUACUGAAUUCUCUGUUUGUCUGUUGUGGAAAUAAAACCUUCUGGGGAUGAAUC